rnacentral:rRNA from 1 species
AUGGAGGGAGCUGUAACAACUUGGCUAGACGUGCCUUCCUCUUUGCCCCCUGCUGUCACUUACAUUUUGCAGGAGUUCGCUGACGUCUUCCCACAAGACGUGCCACCGGGAUUACCACCUAUUCGAGGGAUUGAGCAUCAAAUUGACUUAAUUCCCGGUGCAUCGCUACCCAACCGUGCACCAUACCGUACCAAUCCAGAGGAGACGAAGGAGAUUAUGCGUCAAGUACAGGAGCUGCUCGACAAAGGAGGCAUUAAUAAUAUUACUAUUCGUUAUCGUCAUCCUAUUCCUAGGCUCGAUGAUAUGCUUGAUGAAUUGAGUGGCUCUACAAUAUUCUCCAAAGUUGAUUUGCGUAGUGGAUACCAUCAAAUUCGUAUGAAAUUGGGAGAUGAAUGGAAAACUGCAUUUAAAACUAAGUUUGGUUUAUAUGAGUGGUUAGUCAUGCCUUUUGGGUUAACUAAUGCACCUAGUACUUUCAUGAGACUAAUGAACGAAGUUUUACGUGUUUUCAUUGGACGAUUUGUGGUGGUCUAUUUUGAUGAUAUACUGAUUUAUAGCAAAUCUUUGGAAGAACAUUUGGAACAUUUACGUGCUGUUUUAUUGCUCUACGUGAUGCACGUUUGUUUGGUAACCUUGGGAAGUGCACCUUUUGCACCGACCGAGUAUCUUUUCUUGGCUAUGUUGUUACUCCACAGGGAAUUGAAGUUGAUAAAGCCAAGAUUGAAGCUAUUGAGAGUUGGCCGCAGCCCAAAACGGUCACACAAGUGCGGAGUUUUCUUGGACUCGCUGGUUUCUAUAGGCGUUUUGUGA